rnacentral:rRNA from 1 species
UUCCGGUUGAUCCUGCCGGAGGCGACCGCUUUUGGAGUUCGAUUAAGCCAUGCGAGUCGAGAGCUUUCGGAGCUCGGCAUACUGCUCAGUAACACGUGGAUAACCUGCCCUAUUGUCUGGAAUAACCUCGGGAAACUGAGAACAAUGCCGGAUAGCCCACAAUGCCUGGAACGGUUUGUGGGUGAAGAUAGGAUGGGUCUGCGGCGUAUCAGGUCGUAGGGGGUGUAAUGGACCUCCUGGCCAUCGACGCGUACGGGUGUUGGGAGACAUAGCCCGGAGAUGGAUUCUGAGACACGAAUCCAGACCCUACGGGGUGCAGCAGGCGCGAAAACUUCACACUGCAGGAAACUGUGAUGAGGGAACUCCAAGUGCUAUCACUAUGUGGUAGCUUUUCUUAACUAUUAAUCGGUUUUGGAAUAAGGGCUGGGAAAGACCGGUGCCAGCCGCCGCGGUAAUACCGGCAGCUCAAGUGGUCGUCGCUUUUAUUGGGCCUAAAACGUCCGUAGCCUGUUUGGUAAAUCUGUGGGUAAAUCAACCAGCUUAACUGGUUGAAUUCUGCAGAGACUGCCAGACUAGGGACCGGGAGAGGUGUGGGGUACUCUAGGGGUAGGGGUAAAAUCCUGUCAUCCUUAGAGGACCACCAGUUGCGAAGGCGCCACACUGGAACGGAUCCGACGGUCAGGGACGAAGCCUAAGGGCACGAACCGGAUUAGAUACCCGGGUAGUCCUAGGUGUAAACGCUGUGAACUUGGUGUCGGGGAUCCGUAAUGGGUUCUCGGUGCCGGAGUGAAGAUGUUAAGUUCACUGCCUGGGGAGUACGGUCGCAAGGCUGAAACUUAAAGGAAUUGGCGGGGCAGCAC